UCCGGUUUGUCACCGGCAGUCUCCUUAGAGUGCCUAACUGAAUGCUGGCAACUAAGAACAAGGGUUGCGCUCGUUGCGGGACUUAACCCAACACCUCACGGCACGAGCUGACGACAGCCAUGCACCACCUGUGAAGGUGCCCCGAAGGGAGACCGUGUUUCCACGGCUGUCACCAACAUGUCAAGCCCUGGUAAGGUUCUUCGCGUUGCGUCGAAUUAAGCCACAUGCUCCGCCGCUUGUGCGGGCCCCCGUCAAUUCCUUUAAGUUUUAAUCUUGCGACCGUACUCCCCAGGCGGGGUGCUUAAUGCGUUAGCUGCGCCACCAACGAGCAAGCCCGCUGACAGCUAGCACCCAUAGUUUACGGCGUGGACUAC
rnacentral:misc_RNA from 1 species